UACGGGGGGGGGCAAGCGUUGUUCGGAAUUACUGGGCGUAAAGGGUUCGUAGGUGGCCUACUAAGUCAGACGUGAAAUCCCUCAGCUUAACUGGGGAACUGCGUCUGAUACUGGGGGGGCUUGAGGACAGGAGAGGAACGCGGAAUUCCAGGUGUAGCGGUGAAAUGCGUAGAUAUCUGGAGGAACACCGGUGGCGAAGGCGGCGUUCUGGACUGUUUCUGACACUGAGGAACGAAAGCCAGGGGAGCAAACGGG
rnacentral:rRNA from 1 species